rnacentral:rRNA from 1 species
GACGAACGCUGGCGGCGUGCCUAAUACAUGCAAGUAGGACGCACAGUCUAUACCGUAGCUUGCUACACCAUAGGCUGUGAGUUGCGAACGGGUGAGUAACGCGUAGGUAACCUGCCUAUUAGAGGGGGAUAACUAUUGGAAACGAUAGCUAAUACCGCAUAACAGUAUGUAACACAUGUUAGAUGCUUGAAAGAUGCAAUUGCAUCGCUAGUAGAUGGACCUGCGUUGUAUUAGCUAGUAGGUAGGGUAAUGGCCUACCUAGGCGACGAUACAUAGCCGACCUGAGAGGGUGAUCGGCCCCACCUGGACUGGGACACGGCCCAGACUCCUACGGGAGGCAGCAGUAGGGGAUCUUCGGCAAUGGGGGGAACCCUGACCGAGCAACGCCGCGUGAGGGAAGAAGGUUUUCGGAUCGUAAAGCUCUGUUGUUAAGGAAGAACGAGUGUGAGAAUGGAAAGUUCAUACUGUGACGGUACUUAACCAGAAAGGGACGGCUAACUACGUG